AGACCCGAAACCCGGUGAUCUAGCCAUGGGCAGGUUGAAGGUUGGGUAACACUAACUGGAGGACCGAACCGACUAAUGUUGAAAAAUUAGCGGAUGACCUGUGGCUGGGGGUGAAAGGCCAAUCAAACCGGGAGAUAGCUGGUUCUCCCCGAAAGCUAUUUAGGUAGCGCCUCGUGAAUUCAUCUCCGGGGGUAGAGCACUGUUUCGGCUAGGGGGCCAUCCCGGCUUACCAACCCGAUGCAAACUGCGAAUACCGGAGAAUGUUAUCACGGGAGACACACGGCGGGUGCUAACGUCCGUCGUGAAGAGGGAAACAACCCAGACCGCCAGCUAAGGUCCCAAAGUCAUGGUUAAGUGGGAAACGAUGUGGGAAGGCCCAGACAGCCAGGAUGUUGGCUUAGAAGCAGCCAUCAUUUAAAGAAAGCGUAAUAGCUCACUGGUCGAGUCGGCCUGCGCGGAAGAUGUAACGGGGCUAAACCAUGCACCGAAGCUGCGGCAGCGACACUCAGGUGUUGUUGGGUAGGGGAGCGUUCUGUAAGCCUGCGAAGGUGGCCUGUGAGGGUUGCUGGAGGUAUCAGAAGUGCGAAUGCUGACAUAAGUAACGAUAAAGCGGGUGAAAAGCCCGCUCGCCGGAAGACCAAGGGUUCCUGUCCAACGUUAAUCGGGGCAGGGUGAGUCGACCCCUAAGGCGAGGCCGAAAGGCGUAGUCGAUGGGAAACGGGUUAAUAUUCCCGUACUUGGUGUUACUGCGAAGGGGGGACGGAGAAGGCUAUGUUGGCCGGGCGACGGUUGUCCCGGUUUAAGCGUGUAGGUGUGUGUUCCAGGUAAAUCCGGUUCACUUUAACACUGAGGCGUGACGACGAGGCACUACGGUGCUGAAGCAACAAAUGCCCUGCUUCCAGGAAAAGCCUCUAAGCAUCAGGUAACAUCAAAUCGUACCCCAAACCGACACAGGUGGUCAGGUAGAGAAUACCAAGGCGCUUGAGAGAACUCGGGUGAAGGAACUAGGCAAAAUGGUGCCGUAACUUCGGGAGAAGGCACGCUGACACGUAGGUGAAGUGAUUUACUCAUGGAGCUGAAGUCAGUCGAAGAUACCAGCUGGCUGCAACUGUUUAUUAAAAACACAGCACUGUGCAAACACGAAAGUGGACGUAUACGGUGUGACGCCUGCCCGGUGCCGGAAGGUUAAUUGAUGGGGUCAGCGCAAGCGAAGCUCCUGAUCGAAGCCCCGGUAAACGGCGGCCGUAACUAUAACGGUCCUAAGGUAGCGAAAUUCCUUGUCGGGUAAGUUCCGACCUGCACGAAUGGCGUAAUGAUGGCCAGGCUGUCUCCACCCGAGACUCAGUGAAAUUGAACUCGCUGUGAAGAUGCAGUGUACCCGCGGCAAGACGGAAAGACCCCGUGAACCUUUACUAUAGCUUGACACUGAACAUUGAGCCUUGAUGUGUAGGAUAGGUGGGAGGCUUUGAAGUGUGGACGCCAGUCUGCAUGGAGCCGACCUUGAAAUACCACCCUUUAAUGUUUGAUGUUCUAACGUGGACCCGUUACCCGGGUUGCGGACAGUGUCUGGUGGGUAGUUUGACUGGGGCGGUCUCCUCCUAAAGAGUAACGGAGGAGCACGAAGGUUGGCUAAUCCUGGUCGGACAUCAGGAGGUUAGUGCAAUGGCAUAAGCCAGCUUGACUGCGAGCGUGACGGCGCGAGCAGGUGCGAAAGCAGGUCAUAGUGAUCCGGUGGUUCUGAAUGGAAGGGCCAUCGCUCAACGGAUAAAAGGUACUCCGGGGAUAACAGGCUGAUACCGCCCAAGAGUUCAUAUCGACGGCGGUGUUUGGCACCUCGAUGUCGGCUCAUCACAUCCUGGGGCUGAAGUAGGUCCCAAGGGUAUGGCUGUUCGCCAUUUAAAGUGGUACGCGAGCUGGGUUUAGAACGUCGUGAGACAGUUCGGUCCCUAUCUGCCGUGGGCGCUGGAGAACUGAGGGGGGCUGCUCCUAGUACGAGAGGACCGGAGUGGACGCAUCACUGGUGUUCGGGUUGUCAUGCCAAUGGCACUGCCCGGUAGCUAAAUGCGGAAGAGAUAAGUGCUGAAAGCAUCUAAGCACGAAACUUGCCCCGA
rnacentral:rRNA from 1 species